rnacentral:rRNA from 1 species
CUCUAUGGCCAUGCUAUCCUGAACAAGCCCAAUCCUGGCUGAUCUCGGAAGCUAAGCAGGGUCAGGCCUGGUUAGUACUUGGAUGGGAGACCACCUAGGAAGACUAGAUGUUGUAGGUA